rnacentral:tRNA from 1 species
UCCCUGGCAGUCCAGUGGUUAAGACUUUGGGCUUCCACCGCAAGGGACACAGGUUCAAUCCCUGACUGGGGAA